AUGUGGAGAUUUACAUGGCUUUUUUUAUGUUUUGAUUUAUUUCAAACAUAUUUGUAACUAUGAUCAAUACUAUAAGAUCAAUGGCACCAUCUACACUUAACCAACAUAGGUCGGUUGCAGCCCUACAUCACGUCCCUACAAAGUUUCCUUUCGUGUUAUUUGAUGACGUUGAGAGCGAUGACUUACCAAAAUUUAAGAGUAUCGUAGCCAGAAUCGUUGUUAAGUUCCCUAGACGUCAUGACAGCCAACAUUUUAUUCUACAAGACAUCACUGGGUCAAAAAUAGAAGCAAUUUCAUACCGCGAUAAUGUCCAAAGAUUUGUCACCUUACUCCAACAAGGAUCUACAUAUACAUUAUAUGGAGUGGCGUUCUAUGUAAGCUGGGGGCCGUAUCUAUUUCGGAAUUUUGGACAUAGGCUAGAAUUGACCUUGGCAACUCGGACUGUUGUGGAACCAUUCCACUUGCCAAUUCAGUUCCCGCCGUAUCCAAAACAUCUUAUGCCAUUUCAUGAGGUCCUCCAACAACCUCAUAAGAGGU